UCUUUCAUUUGCCCUCCUUGCAAUUACAUUCCUUACUGGUCGUUUGUUAGUCCUCCAUGGUACAAUUGCAUUUGGUGCAUUCAGGUGCGCCACUCUAGAGUCUGGACUGGCCAAACUGGAACGCAGCGACUUGCCGGCAGAAUAGAGGCAAGGCAAGAGGAGGUCAUCUUAACAUCCACUCCUUCAACUGCUACUUCUGGCAGAACAAAAAGACUUUUACCCCAUGAAUUGCAAUCCCAAUGAGCAAGAACCAUGAACAAGUUCCCUUUUUUAAAAAAAGAAUUUCAGGUAUCAGAGGAGACCGACCAACUAUGAAUGGCCUGGUGCGCAACCUAAAGACCUGUACUUAUGCCGCUAUUUGUGCUUUUAUUAUUAACAUUUGUAAUUGAUCUAUCUUUGUUUUGUCUGUACGAUGAAUGAUUGCAUGGUUUGCCAACAUCUUUGAGCUC